GGUGUUUGCCUGUAACUUGAACUCUCAUAUUCAACCAUCUGUAACGCUGCAAUAACCUUUACACCCUGAGCUGCUGCUCUGUGAUCAGAUGAGUUCAUUAAUUAAUAGUGGUGAAGUGUAGGGCAAGUGUAUUAGUAACUGACCCUGAGUCAGAUGGUAACCAGAGUCCAGCUGGAACAAGGUGGACCAACCCCAGCCUCCAAAUUCACAACAAGCCAGGGACUACCUGAUCGAGUAAUGAGACACCAAGGCACUCACGUAUGCGCAUAAAACCCUGAGACAGUCGUACUCAUGCUGGUUGUCAGGGUGGCAGAUAAGGUACUGAGAAGAGAAGAAGAAACAAUUGCUUAAUAGUUAAAUACUGUUUGUGGUUUGUUUAGCUUUUGGGGGGGGUUUUCCCCUUUUUUUUGUUUGUUUGUUUUUUUCAAUGAGAGAAUAAUGUGUUAACAGAUUGAUCAAUUCACCAAGAAGGCUGACACAUUAUGGAUUUCUAACGACGAGCCUCGGAUAAGCUGUUGAUCUGGUUGCUUCAGGAAACCGCUAUUGCAUUAAUGAAAUAAUUGUUAUGGGUGGAACCAAAAGUCUUUCCUGGGUAUGAAGAUUUUUUUUCACACAUCACAUCGCAACUUGGCAACUUGGCCUGUUCAUGUGCCUUUAAAUGAUAUGAAUACCUAAAUGGCAGUAGCUCCGACUCCAGUGCUGGAUGAUCCACAAGAAAGUACCACGCAUUUAUUGCUGUGUUAGGAAACCACAUAUCUGCCUGAUGUUAGAGCCUUCAGGAUUUAUUUUAUUUAUUCUCUUGGUCAUUUCUGAAUCUGCCAGCAUGCAUGGACUACCUUGCUCAUCUCUAGGUCAUUGUUUUGGUAAUCCAGCUGAUGUUAACACUGACCCUGCACCGUCUAUGGAGGCAAACAACUCCAGGCAAAGCAGUAAUAACCAUGAACUUCCAGCAGCAGAUCCAGUUAUAUCUCAGCCAGAAGCCCUACCAGACAGCCCGCAGGAACUUCAGCACAAACACCUUCAGAGGGCUGGC
ensembl:lncRNA